AACAAAGAAGAUAGGAUUGAAUUCGCUUUUCGUGGUCAUGAACAGGUCGUAUUUGGUACUCUUUGUGAAGUUGAUUGAAUUCGUAUUUAGAGUUGUUUGAGCUUGUUAUUGUGAGUUUUCUACUUUUUUAUUUUUCUCUUAUAUGACAGUAGUUGUGCGAUUUUAGGCGUGUAGAAAACUCAAAUAUUUGGUUUCUACACAUGUCGAAGAAAAAAAAGCUCGGGCUUAAGCCGUUUGUGUUUUUCUCUUUAGUCCAUAAACUGUUGAAGUGUAAAAAGAAAAGUACUUUUGAAAAAGUGGCUUUUAUAGAAGUAAUUUUUGAGUCUGGUUGUUUGCCUUAUUUUGAAGGAAAAUGCGAAUAAAAAUA
rnacentral:lncRNA from 1 species